rnacentral:rRNA from 1 species
CCUACGGGAGGCAGCAGUGAGGAAUAUUGGUCAAUGGGCGAGAGCCUGAACCAGCCAAGUCGCGUGAAGGAUGAAGGAUCUAUGGUUUGUAAACUUCUUGUAUAUGGGAAGAAAGUGAGGAACGUGUUCCUUUUUGUAUGUACCAUAUGAAUAAGCAUCGGCUAACUCCGUGCCAGCAGCCGCGGUAAUACGGAGGAUGCGAGCGUUAUCCGGAUUUAUUUGGUUGAAAGGGUGCGUAGGGGGUUAAUUAAGUCAGCGGUAAAAGUUUGUGGCUCAACCAUAAACUUGCCGUUGAAACUGGUUGCCUUGAGUAUAUUUGAGGUCGGCGUCAUGC